rnacentral:rRNA from 1 species
CGCGUAGGUGGUUUGUUAAGUUGGAUGUGAAAUCCCCGGGCUCAACCUGGGAACUGCAUUCAAAACUGACUGACUAGAGUAUGGUAGAGGGUGGUGGAAUUUCCUGUGUAGCGGUGAAAUGCGUAGAUAUAGGAAGGAACACCAGUGGCGAAGGCGACCACCUGGACUAAUACUGACACUGAGGUGCGAAAGCGUGGGGAGCAAACA